AUUAAUCCUUUGACUAAGAUCAAGUGUAGUAUCUCUUCUUAGUUUAAUGUCUAAUCAUGAUCUGAGGACAAUGUACUAAUUAGGUGUUUGAAUAAGGGAGUUGGAAAUAAAACAGAAAUUUGCAACAACUACUCCAUAUAGUGACCUGGUAUUGUUGUAACUUGAGGAACCUUGUACCCACU
ensembl:snRNA U2 U2 spliceosomal RNA